ensembl:lincRNA
UUCAAACCAUAAUAAAAAUAAAGUGCAUUUAAAAAAAAAAAUGUAAACAAAUGUGAGGAAUGUCUUUUGCAAAGAGAAGACAAAAACGGGUCGUGCCUAUGCCGAUCAUAAUAGGACAGCCAGUGAGUUUGUGUACUUUUAUAAAUAAUCGAGCAGGCUAGAAGAACCUUGAAAUGUGAAUUGAUGUCAGAAAUAGUACCUGAUCCAAUGUCUACCAAAGUUUUGCACAUCAUUGUGAUAAAAUUAAUGAUAGGGUCCAAGCUGUGUUUGUUGCCAACACAUUCUUGGAAAUGAAGUAAACGUUUUUAAAUUAAUAAUUACCAUCAUCAUCAAUGUACCAUACUUACUCUUUACAUAGCCUUGGUGCUGCCGAUGGAGUCUCUUGGACAGGUUUACACUGGGUGGUUUGCCAUUGCCUUCCCAACAGUCAAUCGGAGCAGGAAUUCGGAAUUUGGCCAAGGUGGUGGCGAUAAUUGGCCUACUCUUCGUGAAAGCUUUGUGACAUAAGUGGGCAAACAGAUUUUAUGUCAGAGCUUCGCCCAAGAUUUUCUACGCAGUAAGCGCACAAUCCUUUGGGCUGUAAUUUGUUAUUGAAGAGCGAAUUUGUCAAAGAUUUCUCAUGUUGCUGUCUUCUUCUGUAUGCAGCACAGGCUGUUGGGUGGCAUCAAUGGCUGAGGGUGCGGCUCUGCCACCGAUGCGGUGCCCUGGUUUGGGCGGGAAUUUGGAAUCUGUUCGUGGUGCUGGCGAUAGCUCGCCUACCCUUCGCGAAGGACACCACUGGAUCUUUAACGUCCAUCCGAGGGACAGCACACACAUCGAUGAAACACCGAUUCCAACGGUGUGGAAGAAUGUGUUUUCAACCCCCUCAAGAACAGCAAGGUGGGAAGUCGGAGCAUCAGCCCAGCGUGUGGUGGAGACAGAGAAACAAAGAUGUGUAAUGUUUGUGGUGUGGGUUGAUAUUCUGGAUGGUUGUAUAUCCCCGGACAGUUCUCUCGAACAAGACAGCUCAUCCAUCUCCCUGGAGCGACCCAGAGAUCCCCCACAUCCAGGACGGUGGAACCCCCCCCACCCCCCUUCACAAAGUCAGGACUACAACAGAUUUGGAGAGAGAAGGAGAGAAAAGAGGGAAAGGGCAGGUCCAUAAGGACCGAUCGGCACUCUGACCCUGACCACGCUGCCCUAACGAAUCCAGGCAGCAGGGAAGAAUGGGGAAGAUUUGGCACCCAACUUGCAUUGGGCAGUUCAAACACUGUGAAGAGGUGUCCCCAAUAGUUGCUGUGUGAUGUGUUAUUAAACUUGGUCCUGCAAUGUGGAAGAAGCAUCAUCUCAUAUGACCUGGUACUGCCUUUCUAUACGACAAUGUUGAUCAGUUUGCUAGCUGUUUGGCAUUUCAGCCUGAGGGAGUAUGGUUCAUUUCAGAAAAUUUGAUUGUGUUCGUUGCUAUGGGAAAAGUGGUUCUAUUGGGGCUCUAAUUGUGUAGACUAAGGUAUAUUAACCCUGUAGCAUCUCCAUCUGCACUUACGAGCCACCACGCAUACCGCCCCCCCCUUGUAUUUUUCCUUGGAAUACACCCAUAAGCUCCUCUGUCAUUAGAAAUGCACUUACCCUCACUGCAAGUGUCAAACCAAGUGGUAAUGCUCACAGUUAUUCCCAUGCCUUAUUUCAUAUUUUCUCCUCCAUGGCAUGGAAUUAUCACAGUAGCUCAUUCAAAAAGUGUCCUUCAAAGUCAAGUUGAGCACACUGAACUCUCUAACCAGAAUUCAUCAGCAGGUGGAUUUGAGUUAUCCGCUGUAAAGCCAUUAAGUGCACUGAAUUUGCUGAUGCGCUGCUAUUUCUGGGAUGUUUGGUGGAAACGUCCAUGCAGAAUGAUUUUCCUCUUCCCAGCAUGCCAUUCUCAAUUUUUCCUUCCAUAUCGUGGCGACUUGCUGUGUUUUACAUUACCUCAUUACAUCCCCAAGCUUGCUUUUCCUGUCAAUGUAUU